CUACGUCAAGGUCAAGAGCGCGGAGCCGGCUGACUGCGCCGAGGGGCCGGUGCAGUGCAAGAACGGCCUCUUGGUCUCCAGCCCACACUGUGAAGAGCCUUGUGCCCACAGCUGUGCACAUCCUGGGCUUCCUCCACACCUUGUCCAUAAACUGCCCCUCAGCUACCUUCAGACCCAGGAUACAGGUAGGCAUUUUAGUCCAUCUUCAGAAUUCCCAUCUGUAUUUCUGAAGUGUGAUCUAAAAGGGGGAGAGGCAGCUACGGGUGAAUGCACCGUUGUCUCCUUGCCUAUGGAGGAGAGCCAGAGCUGCCUUUCUGUAGUACAGGCCAGGGCAGCAGCCUUCUUGCCUUGGUGUAGGGGUGAUAUUGUCUGUGCUUGUGGCUUCCUGGGGUAAUCAGGUAGGGAAUAGACCGACAGGCAUCCUGUUAGGCUUGUCCUUUCUAGACGCAGCCUCCAGAAGAAUAAAUGCUCCAUUAGCAGCUGGCUGGAGCUGGCUGAGGCUCUGGCUGGUGACUCUGGCCUCUGGUGUAGACUUCCCUCAGGUGAGUGCAUGGAUGAGAGCUCUACCUUCUCCUGACUGCCCAGGCCUCAGGACAACAGGUAAGCCAAGAGGCUCAGGCCUUCCCCUGCACUUCUUGUCCUUCUGCUGGGAGUGGCCAGGCCUGUGGUCAGUCCUUCCACCAUCUGCCUCUCUCAUGUCCUCAUGCGGAGGCAUCCCUACGUGUGGGGAUCUGUGCUCAGUGCUCAGGAGGCAUCCAGCACCCUGGGUGUCUGUGGAUUGUUAGGGAUUUUCUGGGACUGUUAGGCUGUCAGGUUGUUAUCAAUGAGGGGCAGGAGGGAUCCCAGGGUAUUUCUGAGCAUCGAAGAGAGAGGUCCAGGCUACCAACUGGUUGUGUCUUCUUUGCUGGGGGGUGGGAGCGGGGGUAGUGGCUCCCUGGUCUGGGAGCAGGACUGCAGUGAGUAUGCUGGAGCUCUGAGCUCCUGCAGUUAAGCCAACUGAAGGUGGGCGUAUGGUUGAGUGGUUAACUGCAGGUGGGCAUAUGGUUGAGUGGGUCAGCCAGCAGACAGAGCUCCGACCUCUUCAUUUUCUCUCUGGUUAGACAGAGUUUAAAUGGCUUUACCUGACUUUGGAAGACUCCUGAGGAGUCUAAGCAGGUCCAGCCAGUGGGUACAGGCUUGAAGACCAACAGGGUGGGCUGGCAGAUGAGACAGUAUCAGCAUCUCAGUCCAGGCGUCCCAGCCAGGACCACCCUAACCACCACCAGGAGGAUGGAACCAGCCCCUAGCCCUUGUGAGUGGCUCUCCCUUUUCUGUACCAUCUCAAGGGAAACCUGAAGACAAGCUACCAGCAUGAGAUGUCCUGGUGUUCAGGGAACACAGUUAAACAAAAGUGUGAUGCUGCUGUGGGAAAGCCUGCCCCAGGACACCACCAUACCAUGCUGUCUUCAGUUCCUGCCAGCUGAAGUUUUAUUCCCAGGCAAUGCUUUCUCCUUUUACCGUUUCCCGUGGGGACCUGACUGGCUGUCUUUGGGGACUGAGGUCUUACAGGCCAGGAGGUGCCUUUGAGCUCAUGCUAGGGGCUGUGUGCCUGUGAACUCACUGGAAUCCUUUGUUGACACAUUGCUUUCUUACCAGUCUGUGAGCUCUUUGAGGGCAGGGCUUGUGAUGCUACUAUUUAGUAAUUCCUGUAUCCCAGUUGGUGCUGACACAUAGUAGGUGCAUAGUAAGUGCUUACUGAAUGAAUGGAUGGGUGCAUUUCCUGUUCUACAGAUACCUGUUCAAACUUUGUUUUGUACUUUAUUUUGUUAACCCAGUUAAUGCUUCUGACAAGAAGUUCUACAGCUCCUCCCCACCCCAUCAAAGAGGAGGGCCCUUGGCCUCAAAUAGGCCAAUCAGGCUCUGUUGGUGGGGAGUUGAAUCUUCAGUGAGCAACUGGGGAAGAGAAAACAGAACAGAACUAUUUUCGGAGGCCCCGAGGCCUGCAUCCUCAAGGCUACCUGGCUUUGUCUUUUCUGAGGCUCGGUCAACAUUUUCCUUGGUUCUCUGAGUUACUCACAUCUUUCUAAUACAUUUCCUCUUUUACUUUAGUUAAAACCAGAGUUGGUUUCUGUUGCUUGCCUCCAAAGAACCCUGACUGAUAUAAGUGUUUUCCUGUUAUUUUUAAAUCUUCUAAAGUAUUGCUCUGAGAUGGUUUCUGCUUAAGCAGAUUCAUUGAAACAGUUUACUUCAUAUUUGGAUUUUUCCAUUUGUCAGAACAUUCUUCCUUGGUAGUGUGGUGCAGUAGAAGGGACUGGACUGAUUUAGAUAAUCUAAAGGUAAUUCUGACUGUGCCACUAAUUAUGUAAUUUCAGAGGAGUAACAUUCUCUUUGGAUUUCAGUUUCCACAUGAGAAAUAAAAAAACUUGAACUGAGUAACCACAGAUUUCCUUCCAGCUUUAAGAUCCUAUUAUUCAUAUGAGUCAAUAUCUGCCUUUUAGUGAUAUGCUCCAUUGGCCCCAGUUACAUGGUCUGGGCUUAUGUGAUAACCCUUCAAAUAUUUGAGAACCUAUGCUCCUGCGAGUGUUUUGUUCUAGGCCCAACAUAACCAGUUUCUGUAAUCAUUUCUCAUAUGGUAAGGUUUUUAGACUUUUCACCAUUCUGGUCAUUCUCUUCCAGACACUCCAGUUUUUCAGUGUCUUCCUGAAAGUGUGGCUUCGAGACCUGGACCUGGACUAGUCAUGCUGUGGGAGUCUCCCCACUACUUACCCGUGUGCUCAGCCUGCCCCUCCUGGCACAUAAUGUUGACUAAGGCACAGCCCAAGGGGAGGCAGCCACCAUAACUUUCCUAGAUCUAGGGAUAGUUAUUUUUUGUCAUUUUAGAGGCCCUUCCUUCAGGCUGCAUGCAGAACAGAUGCAGGUAGCCAUGAAGCCAAAUCUGGAAGGAGAUGAUGCUUCCUCUGAAGAUCAGUAAGUAACCAAGAGUGAUUAACUGAACAGGUGCUAGUUCUUAAUACACAUGGAAGAAAGAUUUGCUACAGGUGUCAUUAAUGUUUGCAGCAGUUUUUUUUUUUUUUUUUAAUUGAGACGGAGUCUCACUCUGUUGCCCGGGCUGAAGUGCAGUGGCACAAUCUCAGCUCAUGCAGCAGUUUUUUUAAAAAUGAGGCACUGAAUGUUCAUGUCUCCAUUGAUGAGAAAAAUGUCCUCUCUAACCCUUUUCUUAUGCUAUUCCCCUUUCCUAUUCUCUCUGAUAUCAUGUUUCAUGAGCCCUUUGCCCUAGCAGCUCUUGUAUUUGUCUUUUGUACAGGAGAACAGAUGCAAAAACUAUUGCUCAAGGAAAAUAAAGUGAAAACGAGGAAAAGCAAAAGAAGAUCUGGAGAGGGCUCUCACCUGACCACAAGCAUCCUGGAGCAAUGAGUUUCAGGCAGGAAGACUCAUCCUGAGCUGAGCUGCUUUUCUUGAAGUUGUGCAAGAACGUCCUGUUGGCUGGGGCAAAUUCAGUAUUUCUUUUCCUGGCCACUGUGCUGGAGCGUGAGGAAAGACUCUCCACCCUCACUCCCAGAUCCUGCAGGAGGCGUGAGAGCGGAUGGAGAUGGUGAGGAUGUCUAUUAAUAUGGUGUUUCCUGCAAAACGGUGCCCAUCUCAACCAUGGGUUGUCAACCAUCCUCGGUGUCUACAACUGCAAUUUACCUUUGAGGGCCCAUGAACUCUGAUUACCUGAAAGUCCUUAGGCCAGAAAGAGAAACCCCUGUCCCCCACCUCUCACUUUCACCUAUUUCUAGACCUUUUCUUACAGCAAUGCCUUGGCCCUCAGGAAGCAUCAGAUCUCAAACUGCAGGGUCUGGGGCUGAAGCUGAUGCUGGCAUGGGUGACUCAGAGUUCCUCUAUUAGUUCAAAUAUGUAAUAUCUUUUAGAGCCUAGGACUCAGGCUGGAGGCAAUUCCUUGGUGCCAGUUGGUUAAUACUUUAUGAAUAGUGGUGGGGGAGGGAAUGCCUUGGACUAUUAAUGUCCCCAUGGAUCUGGAUCCUGGAGAACUUCCAGUGUCCUGGAUGGAAUGUUCUGCUUGGCUCAUCUUGCCCAGAGAAGAGCCAGGAUAUGAGAAGAUGGGAGAGGGAAGGGGGAGGUGUGAAACGUGCUGGUGCUUCCUGUCCUCGUGGUGUGAUGGCUGCCCAGGCUGCUCCUUCGAGGCAGGACAGGAUUCCCAUGGGAGAUAUGAGGACCAUGGUGAUUUCCAGGCACCAGUUAUGUCCCAGAGCAUCGUGUGCCUGUGCAGUGGGGUUACUGAUAGUCCAGGCAUCAGUUCAUAUUGUCCUUUAUGGCAGAUCCUGCACAAGGGGGUUCUCUGUCUCUGGACCCACUCUGUCAGCAUGGACAUCCUUUUUCUUUUUCCCUGGUAAGGACAUCAGAAAGAAAGUUACCCCUCCAGUGUUUGGAGUCUUGGAAUCCUUGGCCUGCCUGCAGGCCUCUGAAUCCUCAGUGUGUUAGCCCAAGGUCACCUUAGGUAAAGGAACAUUUCUCCUGGUCUUCCAACACCCUGGAAAGGGAGGCUCUUCAAGAAUAGGAAAUUCUUCCUAGUAUCUAACCUUGGCCUGCAACUAUGCCAUACAUUUAAUUGUAGAAGGUAUGGAAAGUUAGGACUGUGGUGGACCCAGUUAAAUCACUGGACAGAAGCCAUGAGGCAGAGCCAGAACCAGCUUCUGGACUCCCUGCAUGGAGCUUUCUACUAUCCCAGGUUGUUGGGUCCCUUCUCAGUGGCCAAAGAUGCUAUUUUAUGAGCCUUGAGGACAUGACACUAAGUGAAAAAAGCCUGGCCAAAGGGCCACAUAGUGUAUAGUUCUAUUUAUAUGAAAUGUCCAGGAAAGACAAAAGCAUAGAGGCAGAAAGCAGACUAGUGCUGUGGGAGGAAUGGGGGAUUUGGGAGGUGAUGGCUAAGGGGUUAUGGGGUUUUGGGGGA
ensembl:lncRNA SNHG28 small nucleolar RNA host gene 28